rnacentral:rRNA from 1 species
AGGCUUAACACAUGCAAGUCGAACGAUGAUUAUCUAGCUUGCUAGAUAUGAUUAGUGGCGGACGGGUGAGUAACAUUUAGGAAUCUGCCUAGUAGUGGGGGAUAGCUCGGGGAAACUCGAAUUAAUACCGCAUACGACCUACGGGUGAAAGGGGGCGCAAGCUCUUGCUAUUAGAUGAGCCUAAAUCAGAUUAGCUAGUUGGUGGGGUAAAGGCCCACCAAGGCGACGAUCUGUAACUGGUCUGAGAGGAUGAUCAGUCACACCGGAACUGAGACACGGUCCGGACUCCUACGGGAGGCAGCAGUGGGGAAUAUUGGACAAUGGGGGCAACCCUGAUCCAGCCAUGCCGCGUGUGUGAAGAAGGCCUUUUGGUUGUAAAGCACUUUAAGCAGGGAGGAGAGGCUAAUGGUUAAUACCCAUUAGAUUAGACGUUACCUGCAGAAUAAGCACCGGCUAACUCUGUGCCAGCAGCCGCGGUAAUACAGAGGGUGCGAGCGUUAAUCGGAAUUACUGGGCGUAAAGCGAGUGUAGGUGGCUCAUUAAGUCACAUGUGAAAUCCCCGGGCUUAACCUGGGAACUGCAUGUGAUACUGGUGGUGCUAGAAUAUGUGAGAGGGAAGUAGAAUUCCAGGUGUAGCGGUGAAAUGCGUAGAGAUCUGGAGGAAUACCGAUGGCGAAGGCAGCUUCCUGGCAUAAUAUUGACACUGAGAUUCGAAAGCGUGGGUAGCAAACAGGAUUAGAUACCCUGGUAGUCCACGCCGUAAACGAUGUCUACUAGCCGUUGGGGUCCUUGAGACUUUAGUGGCGCAGUUAACGCGAUAAGUAGACCGCCUGGGGAGUACGGCCGCAAGGUUAAAACUCAAAUGAAUUGACGGGGGCCCGCACAAGCG